rnacentral:rRNA from 1 species
UACGUAGGCAGCGAGCGUUGUUCGGAGUUACUGGGCGUAAAGGGUGUGUAGGCGGUUGUUUAAGUUUGGUGUGAAAUCUCCCGGCUCAACUGGGAGGGUGCGCCGAAUACUGAAUGACUUGGAGUGCGGGAGAGGAAGUAGGUGAAUUCCUGGUGUAGCGGUGAAAUGCGUAGAUAUCAGGAGGAACACCGGUGGUGUAGACGGCUUUCUGGACCGUAACUGACGCUGAGACACGAAAGACGUGGGUAGCAAACAGG